UCCGAGUUGUCCCCGGCAGUCCCCUUAGAGUCCCCGGCAUUACCCGCUGGCAACUAAGAGCAGGGGUUGCGCUCGUUAUGGGACUUAACCCGACACCUCACAGCACGAGCUGACGACGGCCAUGCAGCACCUUGCAUUCUGCCCGAAGGAGGGCUGGUUUCCCAGCCUGUCAGAAUGCAUUUAAGCCCAGGUAAGGUUCCUCGCGUAUCAUCGAAUUAAACCACAUGCUCCGCUGCUUGUGCGGGCCCCCGUCAAUUCCUUUGAGUUUCAGCCUUGCGGCCGUACUCCCCAGGCGGGGUGCUUAAUGCGUUAGCUGCGGCACGGGCGGAGUCGACACCGCCCACACCUAGCACCCAUCGUUUACGGCGUGGACUAC
rnacentral:misc_RNA from 1 species